rnacentral:rRNA from 1 species
CCCUUAGAUGUUCUGGGCCGCACGCGUGCUGCACUGAGUGGAUCAGCGGGUCAGGUUGCGCGAAAGUGUUUCCUAAUCUUUAAAUCCGCUCGUGAUGGGGAUUGACGGUUGCAAUUUUCCGUCAUGAACGAGGAAUACCUUGUAAGCGCGGGUCAUCAUCCCGCGCUGAAUACGUCCCUGCCCUUUGUACACACCGCCCGUCGCUCCUACCGAUUGAGUGGUCCGGUGAGGCUUUGGGAUCUGAGCGGAAAGAGCGUUUCGCUGUUUCUGCCCGGAAAACUCAGUCGAACCUUAUCAUUUAGAGGAAGGAGAAGUCGUAACA